AUGGCCCCUGGAACACAUGAGUUCCUUUUCUGUGCCACUGAAGCCAAGAAACUCUCCCACAAUCCUCUGAAAAAGAUAAUAUAUAUCCUCAGUACACUGCUGAAGAAAAAGCCAGAAUCCACCCUGCAAAGCCCACAGCUUCCCCACAGGGUUGCUCCAAGCUCAGAGGAAGGCAGGUAA
rnacentral:lncRNA from 1 species